rnacentral:rRNA from 1 species
GAACCGUCCAAACGUUUAUUCGGAAUUACUGGGCUUAAAGGGUGCGUAGGCGGCUCUGCAAGUUGGGUGUGAAAGCCCACGGCUUAACCGUGGAACUGCGCUCAAAACUGCAGGACUUGAGGGAGAUAGAGGUGAGCGGAACUUAUGGUGGAGCGGUGAAAUGCGUUGAUAUCAUAAGGAACACCGGUGGCGAAAGCGGCUCACUGGAUCUCUUCUGACGCUGAGGCACGAAAGCUAGGGUAGCGAACAGGGAUUAGAUACCCUGGUAGUCCUAGCUGUAAACGAUGAGCACUGGGCUGGAGACUCCUCCCAUAGGUUUCCGGCCGAAGCGAAAGUGUUAAGUGCUCCGCCUGGGAGUAUGGUCGCAAGGCUG